rnacentral:rRNA from 1 species
UACGGGGGGGGCAAGCGUUGUUCGGAAUUACUGGGCGUAAAGGGCUCGUAGGCGGCCAACUAAGUCAGACGUGAAAUCCCUCGGCUUAACCGGGGAACUGCGUCUGAUACUGGAUGGCUUGAGAUUGGGAGAGGGAUGCGGAAUUCCAGGUGUAGCGGUGAAAUGCGUAGAUAUCAGGAGGAACACCGGUGGCGAAGGCGGGUCUCUGGGCAACAACUGACGCUGAGGAGCGAAAGCGUGGGGAGCGAACAGG